rnacentral:rRNA from 1 species
AGAGUUUGAUCCUGGCUCAGGAUGAACGCUAGCUACAGGCUUAACACAUGCAAGUCGAGGGGCAGCAUGGAAGAAGCUUGCUUCUUCUGAUGGCGACCGGCGCACGGGUGCGUAACGCGUAUCAAACCUGCCUCAUACUCGGGGAUAGCCUUGCGAAAGUAAGAUUAAUACCCGAUGUUGUUAUGUUACCGCAUGGUGAUAUAACCAAAGAUUUAUCGGUAUGAGAUGGUGAUGCGUCCGAUUAGGUAGUAGGCGGGGUAACGGCCCACCUAGCCAUCGAUCGGUAGGGGUUCUGAGAGGAAGGUCCCCCACACUGGAACUGAGACACGGUCCAGACUCCUACGGGAGGCAGCAGUGAGGAAUAUUGGUCAAUGGACGCAAGUCUGAACCAGCCAAGUAGCGUGCAGGAUGACGGCCCUCUGGGUUGUAAACUGCUUUUAGUUGGGAAUAAAAAAGAGGACGUGUCCUCUAUUGUAUGUACCUUCAGAAAAAGGACCGGCUAAUUCCGUGCCAGCAGCCGCGGUAAUACGGAAGGUCCGGGCGUUAUCCGGAUUUAUUGGGUUUAAAGGGAGCGUAGGCGGAUUAUUAAGUCAGUGGUGAAAGACGGUGGCUCAACCAUCGUUAGCCAUUGAAACUGGUAGUCUUGAGUGCAGACAGGGAUGCUGGAACUCGUGGUGUAGCGGUGAAAUGCUUAGAUAUCACGAUGAACUCCGAUCGCGAAGGCAGGUGUCCGGGCUGCAACUGACGCUGAGGCUCGAAAGUGUGGGUAUCAAACAGGAUUAGAUACCCUGGUAGUCCACACAGUAAACGAUGUAUACUCGCGGUUUGCGAUACAAUGUAAGCCG